UACGUAGGGUGCGAGCGUUGUCCGGAAUUACUGGGCGUAAAGAGCUCGUAGGUGGUUUGUCGCGUUGUUCGUGAAAACUCACAGCUUAACUGUGGGCGUGCGGGCGAUACGGGGCAGACUGGAGUACUGCAGGGGAGACUGGAAUUCCUGGUGUAGCGGUGGAAUGCGCAGAUAUCAGGAGGAACACCGGUGGCGAAGGCGGGUCUCUGGGCAGUAACUGACGCUGAGGAGCGAAAAGCGUGGGGGAGCGAACAGG
rnacentral:rRNA from 1 species